rnacentral:rRNA from 1 species
UACGUAGGGGUGCGAGCGUUGUCCGGAAUCAUUGGGCGUAAAGCGCGUGUAGGCGGCUCGGUAAGUCCUGCUGAUGGAAAGUCCAGGGCUCAACCCUGGGAUGCCGGUGGAUACUGUCGAGCUCGAGUCCGGAAGAGGCGAGUGGAAUUCCCAGUGUAGCGGUGAAAUGCGUAGAUAUUGGGAGGAACACCAGUGGCGAAGGCGGCUCGCUGGACCGGAACUGACGCUGAGGCGCGAAAGCGUGGGGAGCAAACAGG